rnacentral:rRNA from 1 species
GACGAACGCUGGCGGCGUGCUUAACACAUGCAAGUCGAACGGAAAGGCCCUGCUUUUGUGGGGUGCUCGAGUGGCGAACGGGUGAGUAACACGUGAGUAACCUGCCCUUGACUUUGGGAUAACUUCAGGAAACUGGGGCUAAUACCGGAUAGGAGCUCCUGCUGCAUGGUGGGGGUUGGAAAGUUUCGGCGGUUGGGGGUGGACUCGCGGCUUAUCAGCUUGUUGGUGGGGUAGUGGCUUACCAAGGCUUUGACGGGUAGCCGGCCUGAGAGGGUGACCGGCCACAUUGGGACUGAGAUACGGCCCAGACUCCUACGGGAGGCAGCAGUGGGGAAUAUUGCACAAUGGGCGGAAGCCUGAUGCAGCAACGCCGCGUGCGGGAUGACGGCCUUCGGGUUGUAAACCGCUUUCGCCUGUGACGAAGCGUGAAUGACGGUAAUGGGUAAAGAAGCACCGGCUAACUACGUG